CGGCCUGGCAUCUACGAAAACUAAUGAAUAACAGUUGACACCAGAUAAUGGCACCAUUCUAAUUUAUUACAAAACAAACGAAAAUGAUUGACGGUCAGCCCUUGCUAGUACAGAACUAGGUGUGGGUAUGGUUGCUUCAAGCCUGAAUCAACACGUGUUUCUAAGUUUGACACCGCUUACGUGACCUCGAAAAGCAGUCCUCUGUUUUCAUCGAUCUAGCCAACUAUCAAACACAAUACGGUAGUACGCACCGUGGGCAGAACAGGUACCCGCAUUUCCGCCUCUUGGAGAGUUGCCGUGCGGCAACUCCCGGUGCUUGCAACAACCCGUCCAUCGAGCCGAC